UAAACUGAUGACUAUGAAUUCAGUCAUAUUUUUGUCCAACGGCUUAGAGAGACACAAGAACAAACCAAAGAAAAAAAUCGUUAGAAAAGUGAAAAAAUAUAAUAACCCAAUAAUUAUGCUAAAUUAAUAGUGCAUAUACAUAAAAGUCCUUUUAUAUUGGCUUUAGUCUUCGCCUGGCUUCUUUGUCAUUUUGCCUACAAGUGCAUCUCUCUUUUAAUUUAGGUAACUUUUUGUUUCUGUCGUUCCGUUAACCACACGUUGUCAUAGUCUUCAGUUGCAAAUAUAACAGCUUUUUACAGUUUGACAAGCUUGGAUUGAUGUCAUUUGGCGCAAAACUUUUAGCAAUGAAAAAAAUGUGUUAUUGUCAAUUUUUUUCGUAAUUUCGGCCAUCUAAACCGUGUAAUAGACAAAGAGAUAGAUUACUGCCUGUGAUACAUAGCUCACGAACCAAUAUUGAAUAUCAUAAGAAGUCAUAUGUAUUGGAUAUCAUUCAUGUAGCGAAGACAACAUUAGCUCCAUCGAUGUAACCAGAAAUUAAUUUUGCACAUAAUUUUGGAAGAAAAUGGGAGAUCUAUUUCUAGUUUGUCUGGAGGGUUACUGCUUGUGAUACAUAGCCCCCGGACUAAUAUUGCAUUUCAUAAGAAGGAACAUGUUUUGGGUAUGUUACAUGUAGAGAAAACUACAAUUAGCCCCACCGAUGGAACCAGAAAUGAAUUUUCUGAUAAUUUUGGCGAAUAUUGGGAUAUUUAUUUCAGUUUGC